UACAGAGGUGGCAAGCGUUGUUCGGAAUUACUGGGCGUAAAGGGCGCGUAGGCGGUCUUGUAAGUCUUGUGUGAAAUCCCUCGGCUUAACUGAGGAACUGCACGGGAUACUGCGAGACUUGAGAUCGGGAGAGGGAAGCGGAAUUCCGGGUGUAGCGGUGAAAUGCGUAGAUAUCCGGAGGAACACCAGUGGCGAAGGCGGCUUCCUGGACCGACACCGACGCUGAGGCGCGAAAGCUAGGGGAGCAAACGGG
rnacentral:rRNA from 1 species